AACGAACGCUGGCGGCAUGCCUAACACAUGCAAGUCGAACGAGACCUUCGGGUCUAGUGGCGCACACGUGCGUAACGCGGGGGAACCUGCCCUUAGGUUCGGGAUAACACCCCGAAAGGGGGGCUAAUGCCGGGUAAUGUCCUCGGACCAAAGAUUUGUCGCCCUUGGGUGGGCCCGCGUUGGUUUAGCUAGUUGCGAGGGGAAAAGCCUACCACGGCGACGAUCCAUAGCUGGGCUGAGAGGAUGAUCAGCCACACUGGGACUGAGACGCGGCCGAGACUCCUACGGGAUGCAGCAGUGGGGAAUAUUGCACUAUGGGCUAAGUCCUGAACCAGUUAUGCUGCUUGAGUGCUGUAGUUCUUAGGGUUGUACAGCUCUUUUACCCGGGAUGAUAAUGACAGUACCGGGAGAAUAAGCUCCGGCUAACUCCGUG
rnacentral:rRNA from 1 species